AUCGAUAGUGCAUACUCUCGAGAGUAACUUGGCCAAAUAUCAUGAAGAUUGGAUCACUAAUAAGGAAAUGAUAAGCACCUAAAGGUGAGGCCGCGAGGUACUUUUGCGCGGACUCGCACCAGUUUUCAGUGUUUACUGUCAGGUCCUAUGAUUUGAAGUUCAUCACACAGAAAUAGAUGCAAAUGUGAAGUUUUCUGUUAUGGUGUAUCAAAAAUAUAAGGCAUGUGAAAGGUUUAUACGUUCUUACUAUCUUUCAAAAACGUGUCUAUACAUCUAGACAAGCCGUUAGACAAAGCGUUAUUUUCUACUAAUUCCAAGCAAAUUUUUACAAAAAUGGCUCUAGAUGAAUGUCUUGCGCCGGUUCGCACGCAUACAGACCUACUGUAGUAGUUAGUACUAACCCUAAACUUGAUUUUAGUG